rnacentral:rRNA from 1 species
UACGUAGGUGGCAAGCGUUGUCCGGAAUUAUUGGGCGUAAAGCGCGCGCAGGCGGUCCUUUAAGUCUGAUGUGAAAUCCCGUGGCUUAACCACGGGCGGUCAUUGGAAACUGGGGGACUUGAGUGCAGAAGAGAAGAGCGGAAUUCCACGUGUAGCGGUGAAAUGCGUAGAGAUCAGGAGGAACACCCGUGGCGAAGGCGGCCUUCUGGGUCCGCCCUGACGCUGAGGCGCGAAAGCGUGGGGAGCGAACGGG